rnacentral:rRNA from 1 species
GAUGAACGCUGGCGGCGUGCCUAAUGCAUGCAAGUCGAGCGAACGGACGAGAAGCUUGCUUCUCUGAUGUUAGCGGCGGACGGGUGAGUAACACGUGGAUAACCUACCUAUAAGACUGGGAUAACUUCGGGAAACCGUAGCUAAUACCGGAUAAUAUUUUGAACCGCAUGGUUCAAAAGUGAAAGACGGUCUUGCUGUCACUUAUAGAUGGAUCCGCGCUGCAUUAGCUAGUUGGUAAGGUAACGGCUUACCAAGGCAACGAUGCAUAGCCGACCUGAGAGGGUGAUCGGCCACACUGGAACUGAGACACGGUCCAGACUCCUACGGGAGGCAGCAGUAGGGAAUCUUCCGCAAUGGGCGAAAGCCUGACGGAGCAACGCCGCGUGAGUGAUGAAGGUCUUCGGAUCGUAAAACUCGGUUAUUAGGGAAGAACAUAUGUGUAAGUAACUGUGCACAUCUUGACGGUACCUAAUCAGAAAGCCACGGCUAACUACGUG